GAUGAACGCUAGCAGCAGGCUUAACACAUGCAAGUCGAGGGGUAUAGUUCUUCGGAAUUAGAGACCGGCGCACGGGUGCGUAACGCGUAUGCAAUCUACCUUUCACAGAGGGAUAGCCCAGAGAAAUUUGGAUUAAUACCUCAUAGUAUAGCAGUUUCGCAUGAAACCACUAUUAAAGUCACAACGGUGAAAGAUGAGCAUGCGUCCCAUUAGCUAGUUGGUAAGGUAACGGCUUACCAAGGCAACGAUGGGUAGGGUCCUGAGAGGGAGAUCCCCCACACUGGUACUGAGACACGGACCAGACUCCUACGGGAGGCAGCAGUGAGGAAUAUUGGACAAUAGG
rnacentral:rRNA from 1 species